rnacentral:lncRNA from 1 species
GCGGACGACAAGGCUCCUCCUCCUUGACCCUACCCGGCUACCCCAACCCACCUACCUUCGAAAUUUAUCUUCGUGCUCCCGCGGUGACUACCUCCCCUGAUAUGGCGACGCGCUAGGCCACCGGCGGCAUCGGAAGGGAUCUCGCCACACGACACCGGCGACUUCCUUGCUCCUUGGUACGUGAUAGCGACCACGGGUGGGUGGUGCUCUCCUGCUCAAGAAUCCAUGUGUUACCUGCUAUAAUUACUGGGGUUUGAUUUGGUUUCUUUUACCUACGCCCAACUUAUAAAUAUAAGCUAGCAAUUUGCACAAGAAUAAUUUGUCCGAAUAUGAUUAUUGUUAACGUUUGUCUUUCAGGCUUGGAAAUGGCGGUGGAGACGAUAUACUCUGAAAUGUUGGUUGAACAAUUGGUGCAAAUCUAUCCUCUGAUAUAUGCACGUGUUUCACUUGUCAGUGUUUUCUACUGCACUGUUACCCCUGGAGCUGAGCUGUGCUUAGGUGUGGAAUAUGGUCAUCUAGUCAUCUUCCGCUUUCUGUCCCUGAGCUGUGGAAUGGACAUAUGGACACAAAUGUUACCUGGCUCUACAACUUGUACCUAAAUCUUUUGCUGACUGUUCUGAAAUUUUCUAAUCUACUGGAUUGGAUUGG